rnacentral:lncRNA from 1 species
CUACCCGCCGGUCACGCGUCCGCCAGUCGUCGGCCCGCCCAAGGGCCCCGUCACGCGCCCGCCGGUCACGCGUCCGCCGGUCGUCGGACCACCGGUGACCUACCCGCCGAUCAUCGGCCCACCGGUCACGCGUCCGCCGGUCGUCGGGCCACCGGUGACCUACCCGCCGAUUACCGGCCCUCCGACGACGCCGCCGGUCGUCGGCCCACCGGUCACCUACCCGCCGAUCACCGGCCCUCCGUCAACCACGCCUCCGAUCACCGGCCCGCCGUCGACGACGCCCCCAGUCACCGGUCCGCCCGUGACCUACCCGCCCGGCGGAGGCGGCGGCAGCUCGACGCCGUGCCCGCCGCCGC